CUAACGUGGUUUGCUUCUUACAAUUCAGUAAUGUGGAUCGUUACAGAAUCUUGCAUGGCGGAGUUCGCAACAAUAGGAUCAGCUGCAUACCUAUUUAUGAACUCUUUAGAAGAAUGGAGACAACUUGAGCCUUCUGGUGUUGUCAUAGAAACCAUUCAUUCCUACUGCUAAGUAUGAAAGAUCAAAGUAGUAUUGUCGUUUACAAAACCAUUCGAAAGAACAAGAGAAUGGAGAAAUGAGCCUACACAUUUUGCAUAUCUAAGCAAGACAAACCCCUUUCUCCAAUAAACUCAUAUGUUAUUCUUGUUAAGUAUGAGGUGUUACCAAAAGGCAAACAUCAUUUUCAUUUUCAGACGAUAGUAAGAUGAGGAGUUACGAAGAGGCAAACAAAUAUUAUCAAACAAUGGUAAGAGAAGGUAAUA